rnacentral:lncRNA from 1 species
UCCAGGGUUUGAGUUUAUAUUUAUAUUUACAUUUACAUUUACAUUUACAUUUACAUUUACAUUUACAUUUAGACUUUUGCACAUUUAACUAAAUGUGAGAAAACGUGUUGUGUCAUUUACUUAAAUGUGAGAAAACUAGUUAUAGGUGCUCCUUUUACAAUCGGCACCCCAUAUGAGUUACCCUCUAUCAUGUGAAGGUUCAGACCUGAAAAGUGUUUCAUAAAAUAAAUGACAGUCCUUCAUUGAUCGAUUACCAAUGGUCCCUUUUCCCCUGAAGGUGUCAGCAUGCGAUGACUCGUCUCCCAACUCUCAGGUCACGGCUCAUUUACAUCCUAGAGACUAAAGCUAAGCUUCAAAUGUGACAGUGUUGACAUGCAGAGUCCUGUUUGUGGAGGGAGGGGAGUCAACAGGCCGCCGCAUCAGGAUAAAUGAGGAGCCGAGCUGCGGCUUCAGAGCCAGAUGAGAUGCAGAUUCCUGUGCUGCUUGUGUCGCUUGUGCUGGUCUGGAGUCUGGCCGAUGGAGCCAUUGUGUCCAAAUGUGACCUGAGGGAGCAGCUGGAGAAAGCCAUCGGCAACCUGACGGUGACGUCCAGGCAGAAACCGCUGGCUGGAGCCGACCUGGUGGCCAAGUUUGUCUGUCAUGCACAGCUGGCGUCUCAUUUUAACACCAGCUUAGUGAAGCGCUUGACCACGAAUAUCUACAAGGACCCGCUCAACCUGCUGUGGCCCCACAACCGGAGAAGACGGAGCACGCUGAGCCGCCGUCCCAAGGAUUCCAGCGGCUGCGUGCGAUGCCGCCGAGCUGCAGAGGCCGAUGGCGGCGGGACGUUCUACGGCAUCUUCCAGUUCAGCAGUCGUCUGGUCUGCAGCGACGGCAGCGCUCCAUCGCCCACCAUCUGUGGGCUGCCCUGCAGCAGUGGGUUCUGUACUUGGCCUGGGUAUCACUGGUGCACACGGAGAUCUCUGCUUCUGGUCACUGUGUGCUGUUUGUGUCUUUGGUGUCUUUGCUUUACAACUGGCUUUAAACCUUUUGUCUUUACAGAAUUAGUUGAUGACAACAUAAGUGACGACAUCCGCUGCCUGAAAAGUAUCUUCACUGUCCCUGGGAACGGCAGCUUGGGAGAAGCCGACCAGGAGGAAUUAGAGAAAAUGAUCGGGCUCAUCCUACAACCGCAGUGCUGCACCAUCCAACCCUCUGUGUACUUCGCUGAGUGCCCCUGA